AUUACUGUUAUGCUGGGUGAACUAGUUAAUUCAUAUAUAAAUUCGAUUCACAAUAUUUAGAUAUUUUGGUCAGCUUCUGGAAACGAAAGCUUAUAUAAGGAACCAGCUCCAGAUUGCUAUAGCAUGUUUAUAUUCAUUCCCUGGCCGUUACUUUCAAUAUAGACCGGUGUUGUCCAAUAUUGUUGUAGGCUUGCAGCCACUCCUUUGUUGUUUUGUUUUCUAUGUUAGAUAAGUGGUUAGAUCACUCUAGUUAUUAGUGCAUCAAAUAAUUGUUUGUUGAUUAUUGUUUUUGGUGUGAUUAAAAAGUGCUCCUUUUUGCAUAAACUAUAAUAUUUUGAAUUUUUAUUCCUUUUGAUUUCCAUUUAUACUAUCAAAUGAUGGUAGUAUGUCUGAUGUAUUGCAUAACACUUAUGAUUAUGAAAGGGCUCUUUAUAUUGAAACCAAUAUAGGCCAUACUAAAUUUUAAUUUGAACCUCUGAGAUUUCAACCAAUUUUGCUAGGUUAAUGCAAUCUUCAAAAUCUCAGAAUUAACAAUCAUAGGUAGAUUUUAGAAUAAAUCUCCUGUUAUCUCAAAAACUGUGUGAGGAUGAAGUGGGAGAAAAUGUUAAUUAUUUGGUUUUUCUUAUGAAUAUUUUAAACUUGUUUGCAUUAUUCAAUAUUUCAAUUAGAAUUCAUCUGAUACGUAUGUCUUUCCAUUCUUCAUUAACUUGGUUGAAAGGAAUUAGGAAUGGACAUUAGAAACCUUGCUUACUUCACUUUUUGUCUGCAGGCUUGUUCCUGUAGGGAACACAAAGUUCGCUAAAGAUGCUGCCUUUGCCUACAAAUCUUUGAAUCUGCGUGAUGUAAAAGCCUCUUUGUUCCUUUUUAUUACUGGACACAGAGUUUGCUAAUUGCCACACGAUUAUUCUAAUGCAGACCUCUCCGAACAGAGCAACUAGAACUUUCAUGGAUUUUGAAUCAGUGGCUCAGGCCAUGGAUGGUUGGAAUUGAAAUGCAGAAAAAAGCAGCAUUGCCGUUGAGGGACGCAAAAAGCGGCAAUGCGAACAAGAUGAAGGCUCUGUGCGGCAAGGAAGCUUUGGUGAAGCUUCUGUGCUGUUCUCUCAGGAAGAGAUUGUUUUUGUCUUAUGCCUACUGGAGGAGGCAAGUCGAUGUGUUAUCAGAUUCCUGCACUGUCCAAAAUAGGAGAAUCACAUUCAUAUUUCCUAAUAUAUACAGUUGUGCAUCUUUGUUGAGCUGAAUUCUAUGUGGGUGAUUACAUUAAAGAAGGCCAAGUAAUAGGGUAUCUGGAUCAGUUUGGCACUUCACUUCCUGUUAAGUCAGAUGUGUCUGGAGAGGUGUUCAAGCUACUCUUUCAGGAUGGAAAGGCUGUUGGUUAUGGAGAUCCUCUUAUGGAUGUCUUGCCUUCAUUCCAGAAUAUCAAGUGAUGAGUCAUGUGGUAUCAUUUGUUGAGCAACUGAUAUGACAAAUUCAUUUGUAGUCUGGUUAUUCUUUCUUUUCGGCUGCAAAUAAGUCAAGAAAUAAUGAAUGGUACCGCUAUAUUGGGCAAGGAGUCCUUUAUAAGAAUUUGCACGAGUUGUAGAAAAACUAGAUAUGGUAGUGCUUACUACUUCAAGGGAGCAUCUUCUAUCUGCUGAGAGCAAGGGUUUGCUAUGCAGAGAUAUAAGUCCGUAUUGAUUUCGUUUCUAUAUUAACCUGACUUCAGAGAUUGCUGAGCAAGCAAAAAGACGUGCUGAGGUUACAAGUCAGAAGAUGCCAAGAUCAACUUUUAAUGUGGAGCUUGAUGUUGCCAAUGCAACUUGGUUAUCCAUUAAUAUUUUAGAUUAUCCCAUCUUUAUGUGCUAAGUGUAAUUUGUGACAUCAGUUAAUGAAGGAGAUCCAUGUAAUAUUGGGAUGGUCAUCUUAUUUUUGUGGGGUAUCUUUUUAUUGAGACAGUGAGAUAUUGGAUAAUGGUGUUGAAAAAUAACAUCCAAUUUUAUAGGUAUCGUGUAAUGAAUAUUAUGUUUAUCUAUGAAUAUUAUGUUUAUCUAUGUGA